GAAAGCGUGCACAACCAGCAAUGAGCAACACUGGUAGCAGAGCAGGACACUUGGGAAAAAGGAACAAUAUUCUUUAGAGUGAAGCCUCUAGUGUUGAUUUCAAUACCUGGGAACUGACGGGGAAAAAACUGCCAUGGAUAGAGGUUGUAAAAAAGACUAACGUGGGAAUAUUUUCAAGGAAUUUCUGUAUUUCUAGGUAAAAAAGGAACACUUGUCAAAAUAAACAGUGCAAUAAAGAGAUGCAAGACCUGAUUGUCAGAAUGAAAUAAUAUGACAAAUAUUCUUCAGAAAGCAAUGACUUUGAAGAUGAUGUGGACAAGUCUGAACAAUCAGGAUCAACUGGUCCAGCUUAGACAUAACGGGUUAUGAACGUCCAUCAUCUGCAAUGUCUACAACUUCAGUCAUCUGCUGGUACACAGGCAGUGCUGCAACUAAGCAUACAUCAGAUAGUAAAUUAUCUGUAUUUAAACAAAAGAUUUUCUUCAAUCAUCCAAUAAAAACAUGGAUGAGUUCCUAAUCAAGACCAGCAAAUUCCAGAAAGACUCCAUAGAUGAAAGGAUUGCUCACAGUUUAUUCACACACUGAAUUCUCCCUUUUAUCCUGUUCAGGACAAACAUCUCAUAGGGUGCAAUCAUUACAACCAGGCUACUCUCCACCUAGCAGAGCAAACAUUGCUGGAAGAUUCCUGUACGAGAAAAAAAUUGAACAGUGUGCAAAAAAACAUUAAUGGGAAAUUCAUUAAGCUGAGUCUUGAGGGGUGAAGCAAUGUAUACAAUGUUCUAGUAGUGUGUUUGUAUGAAACAAAAGAUGGGGUUUUCUAUCUUGAAGAAAAAAAAUUAUACAUCAGGGAAUGGCCAUACAGCAUAAUAUUUAAAAGUAACAGCAGUAAAAGCUAUAAGAAACUGAACAAAAAAAUCAAGCCUUGCAUAUGUAGCUUUGUCACAGAUAAUGCUGCAAAAUGUAGCAAAGGCAAGAAAUCUUGAAGAAGGGAACCUGAAGCUUAUAACAUAUGGGUGCAGUGCUCAUCUGAUGCAUCUUUUAGCUAAAGACUUAAGUUCAACUCCAGGAAUAAAGGAAAAUGUUGUUGAAAUUGCAACAUUUUCUGUAACAACCACUUUGCUUCAGCUUCACUAAAGAGAGCAGGAUGAUCCCAACUAAUUCAUCUCCAAGAUGUAUUAUGGAAUUCAGUGACUGACUUGUUUUGAGCUAUUUAUUAAGAACUGGCCUAUUCAGAUGACAAUUUGUGAAGAAAAUCACGCCAAAACAGAUGGAACUAACACAGUCAAAGUAGUCAACACUGGACUAAAGAGAAAUGUAGAAGAUAAGCUGAAUAUACUGAAAACUAUUUCCAUAGCCUUGGACAAGCUGCAGAAAGAUUGCUACUGUACUGCUAAUGCUGUUGAAAUUUAGAAAUCACUUAAGAGACAUUAAAGAAAGAAAUACCCAAUACUUUACCUCAUUUUCUUGGCAAUAUUCUCAGCUCAACAUACUAGGGUAAAUGCCUCACUGCUGAAGAAGAUGCUACUAUUAAACGGGCAUCUAAUAAUCAAUCAUAAUAAAUUUCAGGGCUGGAAAUGAAACAUUCAAGCAGUAUAUGUUUGCUAAGAAAGUCACACCACUGAACUGGUGUACAUCACCAGUUAAGCAGCUGGGACCAGAGUUUAUUGAAGUGCUGAACCAGUUUUUUUUACAGUAGUAACCUCUUCUGCAGGCACACAGAAUAUUUUCUUCAUUUGAACUACUUCAUUCAAAGUUGAGAAAUCAACUGGGAGCUGAAAAAACAGGAAAAAUCAAUCCUUUUCUCUUCCAGUCUAUGAAUAAAAAUGAGGGGGGAGGACAUGAGAUCUAAAACUAGAUCUAGAACUUACAGUUCUAAAAGUUUGACGCACAGACUAAGUAACUUAGGAGACUCAUCUCAUUUUCAAGAGACUUAAGUGGUAGUGUAGACAUAGCCUAUGUCAGUAUAACUUAUGUCGCUCAGGGAUGUGAAAAAAACAAACCCCUGAGCAUCAUACGUCACACUGCCAUAAGCGCUGUUGUGGACAACGGUAUGUCGGUGGGAGAGCUUCUUCUGUCAACAUAAUUAAUCUACCCCCAAUGAGCAGCGGUAGUUAUGUAGACGGGAGAGCUCUCUCCCAUCAGCUUAGCAUGGCUACACUAGAGAUCUUACAGCUGCACUGCUGUAAGCUCUCUAGUGUAGACAUAGCCUUAGGCAUGUAGGAACUUAAGCGCCAAUCACUUUCACUUAGCCUAGAAAAAUUUUCAAAUACGCCUGACCUGCAUUAUCAUCUUAAUUCACUGACUAAAAUUAAUCCCUCUGUUCCUUUAAUAACUCAUUUAGCUGUAAAUGUGAAAAAUCGUUUGAUAAGAGCUUAUGUAUCCAAAACAUUUAAAGUUGCUUUAAUAAAAAUAGAUUUUUUAAAUUACAGUUACCAUACUAAUGAAGCUUGACACAAAUCAUGACUAAAAGUUAAUUAUCUAGUAAAUAAGCAAUACCAUUCACCAUUUUCUAACAUACUAAAAAUGUACAAUAAGAAUCUGAAAAUAUUAACCUAUGUAAUUGCUUAAUUAAAUGUGUAUAGUUAUAGUGUACCUUCCUAAGUAGCAAAAAGAUGCACCAAAUCUAGUGUAAAGGCUCUAUUUCACUGUAAAUCAACUUGUUUUAAUUGCUAUAGGAACCAGUGACAAUGGACCGUUCUUUAGAAAAUAAAAGUGCAAAUGGAAAA